UCCUACGGGCGGCUGCAGUAAGGAAUAGUGGUCAAUGGACGCAAGUCUGAACCAGCCAUGCCGCGUGAAGGAUGAAGGUCCUCUGGAUUGUAAACUUCUUUUAUUUGGGAAGAAACCCACGAUUUCUAUUGUGGUUGACGGUACCAGAUGAAUAAGCACCGGCUAACUCCGUGCCAGCAGCCGCGGUAAUACGGAGGGUGCAAGCGUUAUCCGGAUUCACUGGGUUUAAAGGGUGCGUAGGCGGGCAGGUAAGUCAGUGGUGAAAUCCCCGAGCUUAACUUGGGAACUGCCGUUGAUACUAUCUGUCUUGAAUACUGUGGAGGUAAGCGGAAUAUGUCAUGUAGCGGUGAAAUGCUUAGAUAUGACAUAGAACACCUAUUGCGAAGGCAGCUUGCUACACAGUCAUUGACGCUGAGGCACGAAAGCGUGGGGAUCAAACAGGAUUAGAUACCCCGGUAGUCA
rnacentral:rRNA from 1 species